UCCCACCUUGAAUCUGCUGUUCC
rnacentral:piRNA from 1 species